GACGAACGCUGGCGGCGUGCCUAAUACAUGCAAGUAGAACGCUGAAGAGAGGAGCUUGCUCUUCUUGGAUGAGUUGCGAACGGGUGAGUAACGCGUAGGUAACCUGCCUUGUAGCGGGGGAUAACUAUUGGAAACGAUAGCUAAUACCGCAUAACAAUGGAUGACACAUGUCAUUUAUUUGAAAGGGGCAAUUGCUCCACUACAAGAUGGACCUGCGUUGUAUUAGCUAGUAGGUGAGGUAACGGCUCACCUAGGCGACGAUACAUAGCCGACCUGAGAGGGUGAUCGGCCACACUGGGACUGAGACACGGCCCAGACUCCUACGGGAGGCAGCAGGAGGGAAUCUUCGGCAAUGGGGGCAACCCUGACCGAGCAACGCCGCGGGAGGGAAGAAGGGUUUCGGAUCGGAAAGCUCUGUUGUAAGUCAAGAACGAGUGUGAGAGUGGAAAGUUCACACUGUGACGGUAGCUUACCAGAAAGGGACGGCUAACUACGUG
rnacentral:rRNA from 1 species